GAUGAACGCUAGCGGCAGGCCUAAUACAUGCAAGUCGAACGAAUCUGAGUCCUUCGGGAUUCAGGUUAGUGGCGCACGGGUGCGUAACGCGUAUGCAACCUACCUUCCACUGGGGGAUAGCCCCCCGAAAGGGGGAUUAAUACCGCAUGACACAAUAGAAUGGCAUCAUUUUAUUGUCAAAGCUGAGGCGGUGGAAGAUGGGCAUGCGUGCCAUUAGCUAGUUGGCGGGGUAGAGGCCCACCAAGGCGACGAUGGCUAGGGGUUCUGAGAGGAUGGUCCCCCACACUGGUACUGAGACACGGACCAGACUGCUACGGGAGGCAGCAGUAGGGAAUAUUGGGCAAUGGCCGAGAGGCUGACCCAGCCAUGCCGCGUGCAGGAAGAAGGCCUUCUGGGUUGUAAACUGCUUUUACCAGGGAAGAAAACGCCCCCGCGGGGGUAACUGACGGUACCUGGUGAAUAAGCACCGGCUAACUCCGUGC
rnacentral:rRNA from 1 species